rnacentral:rRNA from 1 species
UACGUAGGUGGCGAGCGUUACUCGGAUUUACUAGGCGUAAAGCGGGUGUAGGCGGGUGGCUAAGUAUUCUGUGUAAGCCUUGGGCUCAACCUAAGGAGGUCAGAAUAUACUGGCCAUCUUGAGUGAGGUGGGGGAGGUUGGAAUUCCCGGUGUAGCGGUGAAAUGCGUAGAUAUCGGGAAGAACACCGAUGGCGAAAGCGGACCUCUAGGCCUUUACUGACGCUGAGACCCGAAAGCUAGGGGAGCAAACAGG